UAUGUGUCUUCUGGAGGCCUUCUAAAGAAUACAAAUAUACUGCAGGAUUUAGGUCUACGCUUGCUGUAUGAUGAUUGUUAAAGGUCUGACAGCCACAGGCUGGCUGUCUUUGGAAGGCUGAAGUGUGGAGGAGCUUACAAGAGCCAGCAUCCUGCAUAAGUUGCUCCCCGUUUCCAGCCAAGGCCCAAAGCCAUCACUGCUCCUUUCCUGUGUCCAAGGCCAAGCCUGAGCAGCCAAGCCACCUGGUGCUGCUUGGAGAGCCAAAAUGAGGAAGAAAACUUGGCACAGGCUGACCAGAAGUCCUCAGUGUUGUUGAGUCUUAGUCAUUGCCUCCUCUAUGACUUGGGGCAACCCCCAGGGCUGCAUGCUCCACUCCAGCUUCUCUGUAAAUCAAAGGCACCUGAUUUUGAACUGCUGAUCCAUUUGUGCUUUUGUCCUUGCUCCCCAGGGCACAAACAUCAGUGUCUAUGGAAGAUGAGAGAUUCCUCCAAGCCCACACAGCAAGUCCCCACUUAAGUGGGAAUUUUUUUGUGCAACCCACAGUUGAGCAGCUGCCAAUUCUGUCUAACCCAGGGCUAAGUCUCUUCCCCAGCUCCAAAGGAAAAGAGAUCCCACCUGUGAAAUGCCUUACUUCCAUAGUGUUGGCACUUCCAGUGGUUUAACCCCAGGGAUGACCUGCUUUGCAGCUGGCAAACUGCCCACCAACUAUCUAACCAGCAAAGGGACCUUGUCUGGAGCAGCAACUGUGGGCCAUGGGAAUGUGUCCCUGAGGGAUUAAGUACGUCUACAGUGCUGUAUGAACACCAACUAUUCAGCUCAUUUCUGAGUGAUGGUGACAAGGACACAUGGAAGCUUUGUCACAGCAGGAGCUUGACCCGGACCUUUGUCACUCUUCUGUGUCACCUGUCUGGCAGCAAAACUGUAAUAAUUGUCUACAGACAGUUAAUGGUGUGUCUAAGUACCAGACUUUCUAACACUGUAGAUGUUUCUUAUCAUCCCUCUAAGCAUUUUCCUUCGGCCAUAUUAGACCGCUG